GAUGAACGCUGACAGAAUGCUUAACACAUGCAAGUCAACUUGAACUUCGGUUUGGGUGGCGGACGGGUGAGUAACGCGUAAAGAACUUGCCUCACAGAUAGGGACAACAUUUGGAAACGAAUGCUAAUACCUGAUAUUAUGAUUUUAGGGCAUCCUAGGAUUAUGAAAGCUAUAUGCGCUGUGAGAGAGCUUUGCGUCCCAUUAGCUAGUUGGAGAGGUAACGGCUCACCAAGGCGAUGAUGGGUAGCCGGCCUGAGAGGGUGAUCGGCCACAAGGGGACUGAGACACGGCCCUUACUCCUACGGGAGGCAGCAGUGGGGAAUAUUGGACAAUGGACCAAGAGUCUGUUCCAGCAAUUCUGUGUGCACGAUGAAGUUUUUCGGAAUGUAAAGUGCUUUCAGUUGGGAAGAAAAAAAUGACGGUACCAACAGAAGAAGUGACGUCUAAAUACGUG
rnacentral:rRNA from 1 species